ensembl:lncRNA
AGAUGGCUAAACUCAAACUAAAACAUUGGAUCAGAAUAUGCGCUGUCAUAGUAACACUGUUCCUUAUUCAUACACAAGUUAUAAGACAAAGCAAGUUGAUCCGAACAGAAAAACGAGAGCUCCUGGUGUCAACAGAGAUCCCAGCUGAGCACAUUGACCCCGCCUCCAUAGAUCUUACUGGACUCGUCAACACACUCAUCAAUGCUUCACCACACGGUUCACAGCAUCUUUUCUCCUUACUCAGUGUGACAUCACACAGUUCACUCUCUCUCCACAAGCUCACGCUGCUGGUCUACAAUAGUAACUACCCUUAUCCACACAGCCAAAUCACACUGUAA